rnacentral:rRNA from 1 species
GAUGAACGCUGGCGGCGUGCUUAACACAUGCAAGUCGAACGAUGAAGCCCAGCUUGCUGGGUGGAUUAGUGGCGAACGGGUGAGUAACACGUGAGUAACCUGCCCUUAACUCUGGGAUAAGCCUGGGAAACUGGUCUAACACCGGGUAGGCUGGUUCACCGCAUGGUGGGGGUUGGAAAGAUUUUUCGGUUUUGGAUGGACUCGCGGCCUAUCAGCUUGUUGGUGAGGUAAUGGCUCACCAAGGCCACGACGGGUAGCCGGCCUGAGAGGGUGACCGGCCACACUGGGACUGAGACACGGCCCAGACUCCUACGGGAGGCAGCAGUGGGGAAUAUUGCACAAUGGGCGAAAGCCUGAUGCAGCGACGCCGCGUGAGGGAUGACGGCCUUCGGGUUGUAAACCUCUUUCAGUAGGGAAGAAGCGAAAGUGACGGUACCUGCAGAAGAAGCACCGGCUAACUACGUG